rnacentral:rRNA from 1 species
GAUGAACGCUGGCGGCGUGCCUAAUACAUGCAAGUCGAGCGAACAGACGAGGAGCUUGCUCCUCUGACGUUAGCGGCGGACGGGUGAGUAACACGUGGAUAACCUACCUAUAAGACUGGGAUAACUUCGGGAAACCGGAGCUAAUACCGGAUAAUAUAUUGAACCGCAUGGUUCAAUAGUGAAAGACGGUUUUGCUGUCACUUAUAGAUGGAUCCGCGCCGCAUUAGCUAGUUGGUAAGGUAACGGCUUACCAAGGCAACGAUGCGUAGCCGACCUGAGAGGGUGAUCGGCCACACUGGAACGGAGACACGGACCAGACUCCUACGGGAGGCAGCAGUAGGGAAUCUUCCGCAAUGGGCGAAAGCCUGACGGAGCAACGCCGCGUGAGUGAUGAAGGUCUUCGGAUCGUAAAACUCUGUUAUUAGGGAAGAACAAAUGUGUAAGUAACUAUGCACGUCUUGACGGUACCUAAUCAGAAAGCAACGGCUAACUACGUG